rnacentral:rRNA from 1 species
UACGUAGGGUGCGAGCGUUGUCCGGAAUUAUUGGGCGUAAAGAGCUCGUAGGCGGUUUGUCGCGUCUGCUGUGAAAACCCGAGGCUCAACCUCGGGCCUGCAGUGGGUACGGGCAGACUAGAGUGCGGUAGGGGAGAAUGGAACUCCUGGUGUAGCGGUGAAAUGCGUAGAUAUCGGUAGGAACACCUGUGGCGAAGGCGGUCUCCUGGGGCAGACUUGACGCUGAGGCGCGAAAGCUGGGGGAGCGAACGGG